rnacentral:rRNA from 1 species
UUGAACGCUGGCGGCAGGCCUAACACAUGCAAGUCGAGCGGAUGAAGGGAGCUUGCUCCUGGAUUCAGCGGCGGACGGGUGAGUAAUGCCUAGGAAUCUGCCUGGUAGUGGGGGAUAACGUCCGGAAACGGGCGCUAAUACCGCAUACGUCCUGAGGGAGAAAGUGGGGGAUCUUCGGACCUCACGCUAUCAGAUGAGCCUAGGUCGGAUUAGCUAGUUGGUGGGGUAAAGGCCUACCAAGGCGACGAUCCGUAACUGGUCUGAGAGGAUGAUCAGUCACACUGGAACUGAGACACGGUCCAGACUCCUACGGGAGGCAGCAGUGGGGAAUAUUGGACAAUGGGCGAAAGCCUGAUCCAGCCAUGCCGCGUGUGUGAAGAAGGUCUUCGGAUUGUAAAGCACUUUAAGUUGGGAGGAAGGGCAGUAAGUUAAUACCUUGCUGUUUUGACGUUACCAACGGAAUAAGCACCGGCUAACUUCGUG